AUUUGGUAACAAGCACAUGGUGCCUUCCCAGAAAUCAAAAGACUUGGCUUCUCCCUCCUCCCAUGCUCAUGCUCCCAAACUCCCAAACAGAGAGGCGGUCCUAGGAGUGGAUAACAUGGCGGGACAGGGGGAGGGGCAGUAGUAAUCUACAUGGUGGGGUCUGGAAGUGCCAGGAAGUCAUGCUACACCACACACACACACACACACACACACACACACUCACCAUGUGUCCAUAGAUGCCAGAAGCGAUUCAUUUUCACAGGGAAUAAGAACUUACACCCAUGGUGAGAGCAGGACACAGUUUUUCAAUCCCUCAGGAGUGAAGCAAAAUGGCUUCCUGGAAUCUGGAACUCAGGCCAUGACUUCAAAGGCGAGGAAACUGAAUCUCACAAAGUGAAGAGGCCUAGGCCAGAGUCUCAUUGUUAAUGCCAGACAUACAAUCAGGUACAAAUGUGCCAGCUUCCCAAGGGGCCUGGGGGUUUUGUACUUCAACACUGCCCAUGGAGAGUGUUCAACAGACCCCCUCUGGGGAGCAGGUUUGAAUGUGGGCAGGAGCAGAAGAUGGGUGGAGGUGAUGGCAGGGAAUGGCGGUGGGGGAAGGUAGAGGUGCUGAUGGGGACUGAAUGGGUGACCCAGUGAACAGCUGGGGAGAAAUCCAGGGGCCAGCUGGGCCCUCACAGCUAGGCCUUUGGUCUGUUGGACAUGAACAAUUUCUCAGAGCAUCAACAUGGAUCAAGACAAAAUCAAGACCACUCCACAAUCAUGUGUGAACACAGAUGAAAACAUAAGCACUCCUCAAGCUGCAAUAUGACCACAUGGCCCCAGUCCUAGCUAAUAUGAGGGGCUGCUGCUUUUUUGCCUGUUCCAGAUUUAGCCUCACUCCAUGCUUCCCUCCUUCCAAAUAUGAUUUAUUGUGGUGCCCAAUUCUAGAAUUUUCUUCACUUCCCAACAGCAUUCAAUCCAAGCAAAGCCCUUCUUCCUUAAGCUGUCCUCCAAACACCUAACAUAAGCCCACAUUUUUAAAGUCCUCUCUGAUACCCUUAUACUGAAAUGCUCACUGUUCUUUAUGUUACAUGUUCCCCAUCACUGCAGUGAGGGACCAACCCAACUUGUUUAACAACAGGGGUGUCCCAAGUAGCCCUUGGCUGGAGGACGUUGAUAAUAGGUGGGUUGAAAACUCAUUCAAGUAUUCAUUUGUUCAUCAGAAGUCUAUGAUGUACCCAGCACUGUGUUAGGAGUUAGAGACACUGUAUACUGGUGAGACAAAAAUGGUCCCAUUCUCCAGGAGCUGAUAGCCUGUUAGAUAAACAGACAAGUAAACAUCUUAGCAUGGCUCCCUGUGGCAUGCGCUCUGAUGGGUCAGCACAAAGGAGGCACCUGUCACAGGUGAGGGGGCAAGGAAGGCUCCUUGGAGUGACACCUGAGAGAGGUCUGUGAGGGGCUGAAUAAUGCAGGCAGAGGUAGAGUAUGCACAAAUGCCUGGAGAUGAGAGAGAAAUGCAAGUGAUUCAAGAUGGCAGGAGUUAAGUAAGUGCAGGAAGCAAAGUAGCCUGAAAUCCCAGAGAGAAGCUCAUUUCUUCUUCCCAAGGCAUCAGGGAGCGUUGCAAAGGUUGCGAGCAGAUAAAAGGAACUAAAGAAUUUGUCACCAGCAGACCUGAACUAAAGAAAAUUAUUUAGGCUGAAGGGAUAUGAUACUAGAUGGAAACUCAAAUCUUUCAGGAGGAAUGAAGAACAUCAGAAAUGGAAAAAAAAAUCUGGGUAAAUAUGAAAGUCUACUUUUUCUUUUUAAUUUUUAAAAAAUACACAAACUGAGCAACAAACCCAUCAUAUCAUAGAAUUUAUAAUGUAGGUAGAUAAAAUACAAAUUACAUACACUCUAUGUAUGUAGAUAUAGUACAAAUUAUGGUAUUUCAUAAAACAUGGGGCUGGGGUGGGAAGGUAAAAGGAUCUCUAUGAGUGCAAGGUUAUUGUGUACAUAUUUUGUGAAGCGGUACAAUCUUAAGUCUAAAUAAACUGUGAAAACUUAAGGAUGCAACCCAUAGAAGAGCCACAGAAAAAUAAGGCAAAAAAGUGUAACUAAAAAGCUAAUGAAUAAAUGGAAAUAGAAUUCUUAAAAAUGUCCAAAUAAUCUUUUUUUAAAAACUGAUGAUAAACCAAUGAUUUAGAAAAAAAACAAAAUUUGAGGAAACCAUAAAAUAGUAGCCUUAAAUCCAACCAUAUCAAUAAUUACCUUAAUUGUUAAUGAACUAAAUAAUACAAUUAAAUGGCAUAGGUUUUCAGAAUAGAGUUUUAGAAACAACUCAACUGUAUACUAUCUAUAGAGACACACUUUAAACAGAGAGGACACAGGUUGAGGAUGUAAAUAGUAACAUAAGAAGGCAGAAGUGGCCAUGUUAACAUCAAGUGCAAUCGACCUCAAGUCCGGGAGUAUUACCAGAGCCAAAAAGAGACUUUCAUAAUGAUUAUAUGAUCAAUUCAUCAGGUGGGCCUAUAUUCAUAAACAGAAAAACUUUAAAUACAUGAAGAAAAAAUUGACAGAAUGAAAGGGAGAAGUAGACAAUUUCACAUACUUGCUUGGAGAUUUUAACAUCCUUCUCUCACCAAUCAACAGAACAAAAAUAGCUCAAAAAAUCAGUAAAGACAGAGAAUCUGAACAACACUAGCAACCAUCUUGACCUAGUGUUUAUAGAACACUACAUCUAACAGUACAGAAUGCAUAUGCUUUUUGAGGGUAUAUGGUAUAUCCUCCAUGUGCUGAGCCAUAAAACAAGUCUUAUUAGAUCAAAAAAUAAUUUUUAAACAUCAUGCUAUGUAAAACAAAGUAAACACAAAAAGUACAUUCUGUAUUACUCCAUCUACAUUGAAUUCCAGAGUAAGCAAAAUAAAUCUAUAGUGACAGAAAGUAAAUCAGUAGUUGUCUGGGGCUGGGGUGGGGGCAAAGGUGAAAAUAGUUUGGGAAAGGACCCUGCUGAACCUUCUGGAAUGAUGGAAACAUUCUAUAUCUUGAUUAUUUUGAUGAUUACAUGAGUAUAUACAUUUGCCAAAACUCACGGAUCUGUACACUUAAAGUAGAUGCAUUUUAUUGCAGGUAAAUUACACCUCAGUGAAGUUGAUUAAAAUAAAAGCAGAUGUUUGGAAUUCACACUAGGAAGUGACAAAGCUGGUUAGAACACUUGCUGGGGCUGGUCCAGAGCACUGAAUGAAUUAGCCGCCAAUAUUUCAAACCUGUGAGAUUUCAGGCAACUCUCAGGACUUAGGCAUCUCUGAAAAGUAGGAAGCUCUGGCCAUGCUGAACCAAGCUUCCCCUGGCAAACUAUGGCAGGAGCUGAGCAGCAGCUAACCCAUUCAGUGGAGCACUCCCUCCCCGUGGCCACUCUGCCUGCUUCCCUCACUUAGUGACCCAUCUGGCCCUGAAGGUUUUUGUGACCACUUGGCUAGAGGGUUAGUAGUGGUUACCACUUACUAAUUUACCUGCUAUUGCUUCUACAUGUAUCUCUCAGCAUCUGACUUACACUCUUAUCAGGCAUAGAUACACGUAGUUUUAUUUUUAUAUUUGAGCACUUACUAUGUGUAAGUUGCAUUGCAAAGCAGUUUGUGUAUAUUAUCAAAUCCUUAGAACAAUCCUACAUAACAAGUUCUACCACUUCCCCCAUCUUGUAAAUGAGAGAACUGACACACAAAGAGGUGAAGUUCAUACCCCAUUGGUAAUAAGUGGUGGAGUCAGAAUCUAAACUGCCUGAGUUUAGAACUGUCUGAUUUUAGGGCUUGUGCUUGUCCAAGGAUGCCCUUCUGCACAACUCCAUAAGCCAUUCACAUUGUAGUCCCCUGAGCUGUGUAGGCUCGAGGAGCUGCCACUUGCAUUCACUACAAUGCAAAUGGCGGCCUUUUAUGCUAACUAGGGAAAGUUUCUCCUUAUAAAACAAAAAGGAUGAAAUAGCUCAUCUGCGGAGUGAGGGGAGAGGGUUCUUCUAGCUCUGAUUUGAUUCAUUCGACAACAUUUUCUUAGCACUUACUUUAUGCCAUGUGCUGAUCUGGGUAUAGAAGAUACAGCAAUGAAAACGUUCCCUGCCCUCAUGGAGCUUACCUUUGAAUGGGAGAAACAACCAAUAAAAACAUAAGCAGGUUAUACAAUUAUAUAAAAAUGUAAUCUGAUGCCAGGUGAUGAUUAUUACUAUGAAUUAAACCAAAGCAGGGUAAAGACUCAGACAGUGACUGGGGACACUAUUUAAGAUAGGGAGGUCCAAGAAGUCACUCUGAAAAAGUGACAUCUGAGCAGCCAGCCAUGUGAAGCCAGACAUGUGAAGGAGCCAUCCAUGGAAAUAUCUGAAACAAAGGCAUUCCUGGAGGCCAUGGGAACAGCAAAGUACAAAGGCCCUGGAGAGGAAAUGAGCUGGGCGCAUUUGAGGAACGACCAAAAGACUAUUCUGGUCAGGAGGAUGAAGGAGAAGAAGCUGGUAGGACCUCACAGUCCUUGGGAAGGAGAUUGAUUUUAUUCCAUCUAAUGGGGAUAAUGGUUGGGGAAUGAGAAUUUGCACAGGAGAGAUGGGAGACAAUAAGCUUAGGGCUCUCUGAAGGGCAACCAAAGGGCUCAGCACUCAACCCCAGGAGCAGCCGGCAACCCUUCCGAAUAGUGUGUCAAUUAAAGUGCAGGCAGCAGUGCUCUAAUUGUGGUUGUUUUUUCCAAAAUACAGAUGGCAGUAGCCUGGUUUCCAGCAGGAUGGUGAUGACAUCUGGUCUGCUUUCAAUAAAUCCUGCUUAUGCAAAAUUUCAGCUCCAUUUCAGUCACCAAAGCCUCUGACUCAUUCUAUCUGAAUCUCAGGCUGUAGGAUGUGCUGGACAAAGAGGGAAACAAUGUCCCUGAGUGACAAAGUGGACAAAUUCCAGCCCUGCCAUUCACCCAUUCCCUUGCAUGAAUCCCUUCUCCUCUCUGUGCCUCAGACCCUUCUCUGUACAAGGGGGCUACCCAGGCCUAAUUUACAGGGAGGCCCAUGAUAAUUAAUCAAGAUCAGGUUGUUUGAAAACAUUUUGCUCAGGACCAGUUAAUGUAUUUACUUGUUUGUUUUCUGUUUUCCCAACCAUCCUGUAGACUCCGUGAGACCAGAGUCCUGUCCAUCUGGUUCAUUGCAGCCACCUCAGGACAGAACACAGAUCCUGGCACCCAGUAGAUGUGCUCAAUAAUUACUUGCUGAAUUAAUAAAGAGCAUCUGAUUAUUAACCAUCUGCAGAUAGAAUGUUGGAUAUGGCUUCAGGAACUUUUAGUUUCUGAAUGUUACCAGAAAGGAAUUUUCUCUGUCAGGCCCAAAUGGCUACUGCACGAUUUGUCUGUGUGAAGUGGGGCAAUCCAAGUAGAUGUGAGCAGAAAGUCGGCUGAUGGCAGACCUCACAGUGAAUUACCAAGCAUGUCCUCUCUUCCCAGCACCGAGAAUUUGGCAUUAACCUCCCCUGGGGAAGGCACACGCCUAAAACUCAUCCACAGCUUGGCUUCUAUCUGCUACCACUCCAGGGUUCCUUAUCUCUGGAUGAAAGCACAUUUUCUUCAUUUCAAAAUUAAUAAAAUAACAAUGACGAUAACAUGCUUUUGAGAUUGUUGUGUUUGUCUGCUCAGCGUCUAGA
rnacentral:lncRNA from 10 species